AUUAAAAUGCAGGGACGCAGCAGGAUAGAUGCGGCUGCCUCCGGAGCGCUGGGGAGCGCAGCGUCCUCGCAGGCGGGGUGGAGCCCGAUCCACACUGGUGAAAAGCGGGAUCGGGCUCCAGGACCUGGAUUCGGGACGUGGGGAACGGUAUUUUUCGGCGCGGCCGAGCGUUCGGUUCUGGCGUCCCCGACUGCCGCCCCCACCGUGAGCCGGCGCUCCUGCCCCCGCCCAGCCGCCGCCUCUCGCGCCCUGCCCCAGGCGGGCCGCACGCCAGGCCGCAGUUUCCCGGAGCCGGCCCCCUCCCGCCCUCGCGGCCCGGUGACGUCAUCUGCACAAAACUUUCCGCUUCCCGGCCAGUCUCGGGGCCCUGAAUCAUAGCCGCCCCCGGUCCCGGGCCAGGCCCGCAGCGUCUGUGCAGAGUGAGGCCCCGCCGGCCCAGGCCUGACGUCAAACUAGCAGAGCCUGGAAGGCGGUGGCAACUUGUGCUGGUUGCGUGACCUUGGGCAGGUCCUUUAAGCUUCCUGAAGUUUCUGCGUCUGCCACCUAGCAGAAGCUCAGCAAAUCUGUCGACUCACGAGUAAAUUGUACAACUGGGUAAUCCGAGGUGGGAAGAAACUGGCCCAAGGUCCUACAGCAGGUUGACAACAGAGCUGGGUUUCUGGGCCCCCAGUUCCACGUGCUCUUUCUGCAGUUACUCCUGAGCAUCCCUUGCAGACAUGCUGAGAAGGGGACUUCUUCCAGAGCAAGGCUGCCUGGGUUCGAAUCUGGCUGGGCCAUAGGACUUCGGACCGCAGUGUUCUCAUCCAUAAAACAAGUGUGAUAAUACAGCAUGAUAAUAAUCACAUGGAAUCUGUAUGAGGCUAGAGGAUCAGUCCAAUGCAAACGUGUUUGCUCAACAAGCCUUCGGUGACACCUACUCUGCACCAGGCAGACCCGAAGAUGGGGCAACAAGCAAGUCCGACUGAGCCUGCCUUGGUGGUGUUCACAGCCCAGGGAGGCAAACACACCUGAAACAGGCUGACCCCCAGCACUGCUCGGGGGAGCCCCAUCUCC